UGUCGUUACUCCAUUUUUCGAUUGGUGUGUAGAAUUGUUACAUGAGAAUAAUUUAAGUGCUUUACAUCACAUUUAAAUUAGAAAGAGAAGAUCAAAAACAGUAAAAAACAAAAAUAUGUGGUGCUUCGUGACAGCACUAAUCGGACAUUUUGUGACUCUAAACAUUCGAAUGGUAAUGUAUCGUAUUUGCGAGACAAUUGAGUCAUAAGUCAACUGACUCACCUGACAUUUUGGGACUUGAUGUUUGCUUGCUCGUUGACGUAUUGAUCCCAGGCGCGUUGUUUGUUCUUUUUGUUAGCGGCUAAACUAGGCUAGGCUAACAAAGCAGGCCUCGAAGUUUGAACGUGCACCCAAACGACUCGAAGCAGAAGCGAGAUUGAACAGAUUCUUGCCCAAAAAUAUCUGACACUAGAGAUGGGAUGCUCGAGCCUUCCUGCUCGAAUCUGAUUCGAGCAAAUGAAGUAGAGGUGUUGUCAUUGUCAUUACCCGAUCGUGACGGGUGCAUCGAUUGUGACGGUUUGCUACUGCGCACGCGUAGAUCAACGCCAUUUUCUCCCGAGGGAUGACGGGAGAUAUAGAUUUAUGCGUUAGGCUCGGACAUUGAGGGGUUUUUAUGCGUGUGUGUACGCCACAAUCUUCGAAAGGUUCCUGCGAACUUUGACUCGAUGUCCUUGUCCUCGAUGCAUCCAACCUGUGUGGUAAGUUUAAGUCUUAGAGUGGCAUGAAAUGCUUGAAUUUGUCUUCAUAGAUACUUCGAGUGAUCCGAGAAGAUGAAUGUGGAUACCUAGCAUCUUCUAACGUACCUGGUCGACGGAACGCUUCCAACUACUCAAGUGGGGCGCCGUAAGGUUCGACGAAUGGUGCGUUAUUUCAUUGUUAAAGAUAAAAGCCCCCCCCCCCUAAAAUAUAUGUGCCUGGUCAUCAAGUCAAAGGAGAAGCAGACUAUCCUCAUGGAGUGUCACAAUAACUCUGGUACUGGGAACUCGAGCAGCGUCGAGGGCACCAGCAACAGAGCCAUUCCUAGCUUCUAUUGGCCAACAAUGAUUCAGGACAUCAAUGAAUGGGUCAAAGAACAUUGGGAGGUAUUGGGCAUGGAUUCAUUUGCAUUUCUAUUUAAAGGCAUGGGCAUAGAUUUGCCUUCUGGACAGAGAAAGUGUCCCCUCUCCUUCAGGGAACUCUACAGCCUGUCUUCAGGGUUCCAAAGGCAACCCCCCUCUAUAUCUUACUAAACUUCAAUCAGACAGUUGCCAGAAGUUUUGACUGCCAACAUACAUGAAGAAGUUGUCCUUCGGGAAGGUGACCGUGCUAUAGAGCCUACCCACGUACCACGUGCUCGCUGUAUGGUUCCGCCCACUUGUCCGUCAAAACAGUGUUAACCUGUUACGGCUACGUACAUUUCUCCUAUUUACGGCGUGUUUUUCUGCUCCUUAACAUUAAUAAUCAAAAUGGUGAAGGCGUGUGUGGCUGUUGGUUGCACUAACAGAGAAGAUGGAAGGAGAGACUUGGAAGUUUUACCGUAUUCCGAGGGAUCCAAAGAGGGGAGAGUGAAAUGGGCGGCUGCAAUUCGACGUGAAAACUGGACACCAAAAAAUCACCACAGACUAAGUAGUAGUCAUUUUAUAUCCGGUAAGAUGCAUUUAAUAUAUAUUUAGAGGGUUUUGGCCUGACAACCACAAUUAAGAUCAUUGCUAGGCUAAUCGCCGACAACAUACGACGUAGUACGACAUAGUUUCAAAUUCAAGAUGUUUGUGACUUCCCUUUCUUCCACCAUCGUUAUUUUUUGAAUAAUAUUUAGCUGGUACCAAGUGAAAGAAACUGGCCUCGUCUACGGGGCUGACAAAUAACCACAAUUAAGAUCAUUGCGAGGCUAAUCGCCGACAACAUACGACGUAGUACGACAUAGUUUCAAAUUCAAGAUGUUUCUGACUUCCCUUUCUUCCACCAUCGUUAUUUUUUGAAUAAUAUUUAGCUGGUACCAAGUGAAAGAAACUGGCCUCGUCUACGGAGCUGACAAAUAACCACAAUUAAGAUCAUUGCGAGGCUAAUCGCCGACAACAUACGACGUAGUACGACAUAGUUUCAAAUUCAAGAUGUUUGUGACUUCCCUUUCUUCCACCAUCGUUAUUUUUUUGAAUAAUAUUUAGCUGGUACCAAGUGAAAGAAACUGGCCUCGUCUACGGGGCUGACAAAUAACCACAAUUAAGAUCAUUGCUAGGCUAAUCGCCGACAACAUACACGUAUGUAUGUCGUGAGAGUGCUAUCGCUAAACCAUAUAAACAUUAAAAGCCUUAACUCCAUUGACAAACGACAUGAAAUACAUUAGACUUCACAGUGGAUGUUAGCAAUAACAAAAGAUUUUGAAUUGAAAAUUUCGUAACUCACCUUUCCAAGCACAAGAUAGAUUCCUGCCGAACGAGGACCUGCUUCACCCAACCAGCAACGAAGUAUUUAUAUGCUUCCAAGCUCUUGAAGUUUUUCAUAUUUUCGUGAGAAUAGGCUGAUUUAGUGUGGACAAGAUAAUUGUAAAUAUCUGCGUAGCAGAUGUCGGGCAGACAGGGCGAAGACAGUGGGUCGAAAAACAUCGAUUUGGGCAUCAAAUAUGGAUCUGGCGACUGUAUAGAACGAAGCUUUUCCUCAUAACGCCUUUUAUGCAACAGAUCCAGUGAGUUUGCGGCAUCAGAAAGCACCGGGUCUUCCAUGAAAUGCAUUUUAAAUUCCGCCAUCAAUUGAAAACAAUGCUAAUACAGAGUCAAAAUGACGGACAAGUGGGCGGAACCAUACAGCGAGCACGUGGUACGUGGGUAGGCUCUAUAUGCACAUUGGCUCUCGUGUGCUCCAGAAUCAGAGACCUUCGUUCUCCAGACUCCUUCAGAAGACGGGCACAUUUUAAAUGGCUUAACAGUGUCUGGACAUGGAGCAGGUUCUCUGCAGAAUUCAGGAGAGAGUAUUACAACAUGUACACAAUUGAGAUCUUCCAUAGGUAUGGGGAGCAGUUCAAACAAUCCCCACGAGGAUUUGUUGGAAGAGGGGAAAAGGGGUAAAGUAACGGCGUUUUACUGCGACGAGGAAACACCUACAGGAUACUGCAUUUGUUCCUGCUGUCCAAUGCAAUAAACUUUAAUGUUUUUGUUUGAGUUUGUUCUACACAUGUGCAUUAAAACUGUUUCAGCUUAAGGCAUUUUGUUUUCUUCAAUCUACGGCAUAAUCAUUGGAUGCUUUCCUAUGAAACUUUAUUUUUUUUCCCCCUAAAUUUAAUACAGCAAUAAAUGUCACCUUACAGCUUUUGUUUAUUCACCUUCUCUACUGUUUAUCCUCAAGAGUAUUUCUAAUUAUAUGUAUUUAUGCAUUUGUAGGUUUGUAUUAUGUAUUUCUGACGAUAGAAUGACUGCCACAUAGUUUUCAGUGUUAUCAUACAUUUUCUGUUCUUCUUCCCUAAAGCUGUCAGACUGUUGAACUCUUGCCAUGCCCCGUAGACCCCCCCCCCCCGUAUCACUGGACUCACUUUAUUCACUGAAAUCGCUUUAAAAGACAAUCACAUCACUGAUGAUCAUAUCUAGUAUAUACUGUACCUCACGCACAUCUUAGCCCCUAACAAGUCCAAGUCGGCCAUCUGCUAAAUUGUUUUAGUAGUUACAUAUUUUUAUAAUUCUGUUUGCCAUUUUUGUCUUUCUUGCUUGUUAUUUUUGAAUGAACCUUAGUUUUGCUCUUUUAUACUCACUCUGCAUUUAUAUUGGCUUUUAAAACAGGACCUGAGUUCUAAUUUCUCACCAUUAACAUGUAAAUGUGAACUGAUGAGACAAUAAAA